GGGCAGUGAUGGGAAUUUAGAAUGGAUUACACUUUACUCCACAUGCUCAAGAUUUCAUUUGAGAUGGAAGCUGAUGGUGUCAUUCACAACUUCAUCCCCUCUUUUGAAUGCAAAUAGCUAUCAUCAGCAGAAACCAGAGGAAAAGGACAGUAACUGGUCAGUGGCUUCAUGUGAGGACAAGGGACUUUGAAGGAGUGAAAUGAAACUAGACAGUUGACACAACAAAGAAUAUGCAGAGUAAAAACAGUCCUGGCAAUAGAAAAUAUACACUACUCUGCUCAUCCA